AUAACAUCAAAAAGAAUAGAAAUGUUAUGAAUAAAUUUAAUAAAAGAAGAACAAAACGUAUUUUGAAAACUAUAUACAACAUUGUUGACAGAAAUUAAUUGUUUAGAAAUUCUAAAUUCAUUUAGAAAAAAUUUUAAAAGACCUAAAUUGUUGGGAGCCACGUUAGGCAUUACUGACAAAAUGGAGGCACCGCCCCAGACCCCCUCUCCUCAUUCCACAGGCACGGAUCCCGGGAUGAAGGAGUUAGGCCUUGUAAUUCUGACUUGUCUUUUCCUCUCUUCGGCUGAGUUGACUGAAAAGGAAUAUUAAGGUGCUUAUUGUUCUUGAGAGGAGAAUGAGAAGGCACAAAGCCUUCUGCAGCAUUGCUCAGAAAAUAAUUCAUAAAGCUAAUCGCUGACAUUUGUUCAAGGACUUUUACAAAAGAGUGUUCCAGGAUGAGCACAUAGGCCGUAGCUUGAGGCCAUGGGAGGGAUUGAUAUCUGAAGCCUAUUUGUGAGGAGAAUGUUUAUGUCAAGGGAGUUUACUGAAUUUAGGGCUUAGAAAUAAUUAAAAUAGUUAGAAGUUAAAGAUUUAAAGAAUGUUGUAGUUAGCAUAUUUUACUAUAGCUUAUAGAAGUUAGGAAUUUUUAGAGACACUAUAGCUACAAGCCUUUUUAAGAGAUAGCUCAGGAUGUUAGGGGCAAACAGGAUUUAGGAAGAUAAGUAGUAAACUGAGGAAUGCAGCAUGAGUUACAAUGUUAACUAUAGGACACAUUAGAAGAGGUAGAUAAUAGAUGAUAAGGCUGAUUCCGAGAGAAUCCCUGAAGCAGGAACUCUGUUUGAAGAGCAAUAAUGAUUUAUGGAGAUAAUAAAUCUGGGAGAGGGGGAGCUGAAAAUGUCAAACCUCUGGCCUAACGUUUUUGUAAAAGUAUAAAAGAGAAUCUUAAACUUGGAAUAAACAGGCAGUCCAAAAGAAAAUUGAGAGGCUGUCUCACUCGCCGACACCAUCCAUCUUUUCAGGUUGAAUCCCUGGCUGCUGGAGUUGGACUCCAGCAAGUGGCGCCCAGAACAGGGCACCCUGAAGAGUAAGUAAUCUGAGAUUGUAACGCGGGACGGUUAGGACUGCACCUAUGGGUGGCCAGCACCCCUCUGCAGUUUAGGCAGGGUAAGGAGGGUACAGAAGCAAUAAGAAUAUUCUCUAGAAGAAUGGGUUUCUCUGCAUCUAAGGAUAGACAAAUGUUUAUUGAAAUAUUGCUGCUACUGCUAAGUCACUUCAGUCGUAUCCGACUCUGUGCAACCCCAUAGACGGCAGCCCACCAGGCUCCCCCGUCCCUGGGAUUCUCCAGGCAAGAACACUGGAGUGGGCCGCCACCUCCUUCUCCAAUUGAAAUAUUACUUCAUAUGUUAGCCCAUAGAGGCGUUAAAGUAAGCACAGGAAGACUGUCUAAAUUUCUAUGUUUGUUUUAUACUUUGCAUGGGCCAGAAAGGGCUUCCCUGGUGGCUCAGAGGUUAAAGCGUCUGCCUCCAAUGCGGGAGACCCGGGUUCGAUCCCUGGGUCAGGAAGAUCCCCUGGAGAAGGAAAUGCCAAUCCACUCCAGUAUUCUUGCUUGGAGAAUCCCAUGGACGGAGAAGCCUAAUCCAGCCUGAAAGUCUGCGAGUUCUCAGUUCACCUACUGUUGAAGCCUAGUUUGGAGAAUUUUGAACAUUACUUUGCUAGCAUGUGAAAUGAAUGCAAUUUGUGU
ensembl:lncRNA